rnacentral:rRNA from 1 species
GACGAACGCUGGCGGCGUGCUUAACACAUGCAAGUCGAACGGUAAGGCCCUUCGGGGUACACGAGCGGCGAACGGGUGAGUAACACGUGGGUGAUCUGCCCUGCACUUCGGGAUAAGCCUGGGAAACUGGGUCUAAUACCGGAUAGGACCAUUGCCUGCAUGGGUGGUGGUGGAAAGCUUUUGCGGUGUGGGAUGGGCCCGCGGCCUAUCAGCUUGUUGGUGGGGUGAUGGCCUACCAAGGCGACGACGGGUAGCCGGCCUGAGAGGGUGACCGGCAACACUGGGACGGGGAUACGGCCCAGACUCCUACGGGAGGCAGCAGUGGGGAAUAUUGCACAAUGGGCGCAAGCCUGAUGCAGCGACGCCGCGUGAGGGAUGACGGCCUUCGGGUUGUAAACCUCUUUCAGCACCGACGAAGCGCAAGUGACGGUAGGUGCAGAAGAAGGACCGGCCAACUACGUGCCAGCCGCCGCGGUAA